GCUCACUUUCUAAGUGUAAAACCUGAAGAAAAUUUAUACAAAAAUCUGAAAUUUUAUUCGAUGUAAUAAUAAAGAGGCUCACAGAUAGCCUCCCUGUUUGUGAUCAGGCUACUAUAAAACAUGUCUAUUCUCCAACUUUUGGUUUUCAUCUUCUGUCAGUUUAACAGAUGAACUUUGACCUUCCCAGACAUUUAUGUUUGUGUUCAUGUCAGCGACGGGUUUUGACUCCUUUGUUCGUCACACAGAAACAUCCACCAGUAAAGCUCUGCAUCUAAAGCCGUCCGCCGUGUUCAGUCUCUCCGCUCACCUGUAUAAAUAAUCCUGCCGUCGCUCUGAACCAGCAGCUCUGGAGGAGAAAAGCUGCCGAACUCCAAGCAUCGCUCCCGUCACUUUAAGGAUUUUUAUUGGUUCCCGGAAAAACGACAAAAACCAGGACAUUACGACGAAUCAGUAAAAUCCUCCCAGGCCGAACUUGAAAAUCGGAUGUUAUGCUGCCAACACUUAGCUUUCGUCAACAACUCAGGCGAAAGAGAGAGCGCAAAUAAACACGGUGCAUUAAAUUAAAAACAUAACGAAGCUUUGAGGCAGCUUUGAGUCAAUUUUCCUGGAGGAAUUUUAAUAAUCGAGGGACUGGAAUCACUGGGGGAAUCGUUUCAGCCCUGUGCUGCAAUCAGACUUCAGUGUGAACGGUUUACGACCCCAAAGCGACUCACAUGCUUUACAUUAGAAUAACAAGACGUCUCACUUGAUCAACUGCCUGGUGCCUUUUGGUUAAAACAUGUUUGUUCUUCAUUCAGCAGAGGGAACAGAAGUGAAGCUAGUUUCAACUUUGACCCAGAGGAGAGGAGCCUUUGGAUGCACCGACCCAACACGACACUAAGAUCCCAAAACCAGCACAGUUACUGAAUUUUCACAACUUGGUGAUUUAAGUUUCAUAUUUAGACGAAAAUAGCAGGAAGCACAAUAUCACACAGGUAAAAUGAUUAAAGGUAGAAAGACGACAGUUUGAUGAGCCAGUUUAUUCAUCAAAGGCUCUAAACUAAUGGAUUUUAGCUUCGGUUUAAAGGUUUUAUUGUUUGGGUUCAAUGACGUUAUUGACCAUAAAUCAGUUUGAUUUUAUUGAAGAAAUAUUUCUGUUCCUAAGCCGGAUCUGUUUGAGACGUUUGCUGUCGGUUCCAGAUGAAAUCCUGGACUUUAGUGGAAGCAAGCAGAGCUGCAGUGUCCAGACAUUUCUUCUUCUUCUUCUCCUUCUAAAGCCGUCUGCAUAAAAGCACAUUUAUCUGUAAUUAACCUGAAGGUCUUGACUGGGAGCAUAAAUGAGCUGAUUGAUGUUAAAAUAUAUUUUUUAAUAAUCCCAUUGAGACUUUCUGAGUUGUAAUCGAAUCACGAAGUGUCCACAGAUCUCCUCCCAGACGUUGCCAUGGAGACUGAAUGGCUGUUUGACGUUUCUGUUAUGGUCUGUAAAUAACUGACGUUUCUUUGUUAAAGCUGCUGGACGUGGAGACGCUGAGACACAUCAACCAACCAAACGGCUCAUAAUUUAACCUGAAGGUGCUUUAAGUGUGAACACCAGCAGCUGCUGCAUUUUGUUUUAUUUUUGUUUGUAUUCGACCUGAUUUGCAUGUUUCUCAUUUGUAUUAAAUAAAAUAUACCUGUCACAUUAAACGUUAUAUUAAAGAUCUGGA